AGCAGUCGCCGCGGGAAUACGUAGGGUGCGAGCGUUAAUCGGAAUUACUGGGCGUAAAGCGUGCGCAGGCGGUUAUAUAAGACAGAUGUGAAAUCCCCGGGCUCAACCUGGGACCUGCAUUUGUGACUGUAUAGCUAGAGUACGGUAGAGGGGGAUGGAAUUCCGCGUGUAGCAGUGAAAUGCGUAGAUAUGCGGAGGAACACCGAUGGCGAAGGCAAUCCCCUGGACCUGUACUGACGCUCAUGCACGAAAGCGUGGGGAGCAAACAGGAUUAGAUACCCGAGUAGUCCCUGUCUCUUAUAC
rnacentral:rRNA from 1 species